AGUAAGCUGACAUCGUGUUUCUUAUUUUAACUUGUGCCCUCAACAUCUCUUAUUUUAUUUAAAACUUCAUGUAAAUGAGGAAGAGUUCACAGUAAAAUCAGAAGUGUAAUUAAAAGCAUUAAAAGUUAUUCAUUCCCAAAGAGUUGAAUUAACAAUCUACAGCGUUAAACAUGUUCUUGUUCAGCGUUGUUACAUGGAGUAAUUUUUGUGUAAAAGUGUAAAAAAUGAUCUGACUCUCUUCAAGAACUGCUGCAUCGUUGAGCGAUGGCGCAAUUUUAUCUUCGUGCCACCAAAGCGAUCCUCUCACCUCCAUCCUCACCGAGGCCUGGUUUUACUACGAAUCUGAAGCAGCCACAUUUGAACAGGGUUUUCUACUCAGAGGAGCUAUCUUGUCAAAUGGCAAGAAGAACUCAUUGAUUGCACAGAGGAGAUGAUCAUUGAUUUAAUGAUUUUAUGUAUUUUAUGUUUCCGACAACACUUACUGAAUGUGACUGAUUAUUUAACCCUUACACAUCUGGUAUGUGCUUUAAAGUUGUUAAAUAAACGUCAAAAUUUAUACAUCUGUCUGAAGAUGCUUGAUUUUAUAUGUGAUCUUGUACAUUAACACCACAUUUUUAUUUUGCACCUGUAAGCCCCUGACCACCAAAUUUGGUGAGGUUAGCUCAGGUUGUCCACUCAGGAAAUACAGCAGGCAGGUUUAGGCGGAACAGAACUUAUUAUUUUGUAAUAAGGUGAGGGAGAGGGAAACCAUAACUAAAGCUGUUCCUUCUUUGCGGGCUGGUCUCUGGGCAGCAAAUCAAUUUCACUGAGGGGAAGACAGAAUAUGUCCAGGCUACUCACGGCCACACUGCACUUCU